UUUGGUACAGCUUGUACAGGAUAGGUAGGAGCCUGAGAAACCGGAGCGCCAGCUUCGGUGGAGGCGUCGGUGGGAUACUACCCUGGCUGUAUUGAAAUUCUAACCCACACCCCUCAUCGGGGUGGGAGACAGUGUCAGGUGGGCAGUUUGACUGGGGCGGUCGCCUCCUAAAGAGUAACGGAGGCGCCCAAAGGUUCCCUCAGAAUGGUUGGA
rnacentral:ncRNA from 1 species